AUUGAACACUGGCGGCAGGCCUAACACAUGCAAGUCGAACGAGUAGCGGACGGGUGAGUAAUGUCUGGGAAACUGCCUGAUGGAGGGAGAUAACUACUGGAAACGGUAGCUAAUACAGCAUACCAUCGGAUGUGCCCAGAUGGGAUUAGCUAGUAGGGGGGGUAACGGCUCACCUAGGCGACGAUCCCUAGCUGGUCUGAGAGGAUGACCAGCCAGACUGGAACUGAGACACGUUCCAGACUCCUACGGGAGGCAGCAGUGGGGAAGAUUGCACAAUGGGCGCAAGCAGGAUGCAGCCAUGCCGCGUGUAUGAAGAAGGCCUUCGGGUUGUAAAGUACUUUCAGCGGGGAGGCGUUACCCGCAGAAGAAGCACCGGCUAACUCCGUGCCAGCCGCCGCGGUAAUAC
rnacentral:rRNA from 1 species